GGUUCGAUCAUGGCUCAGAUUGAACGCUGGCGGAUGCUUUACACAUGCAAGUCGAACGGCAGCACGGACUUCGGUCUGGUGGCGAGUGGCGAACGGGUGAGUAAUGUAUCGGAACGUGCCUAGUAGCGGGGGAUAACUACAGCGAAAGCGUAGCUAAUACUGCAUUAUUCCUUCGGGGGAAAGCGGGGGACCUCGGGCCUGCACUAUUAGAGCGGCCGAUAUCGGAUUAGCUAGGUUGGUGGGGUAACGGCUCACCAUGGCGAUGAUCCGUAGCUGGUUUGAGAGGACGACCAGCCACACUGGGACUGAGACACGGCCCAGACUCCUACGGGAGGCAGCAGUGGGGAAUCUUGGACAAUGGGGGAAACUCCUGAUCCAGCCAUCCCGGCGUGUGCGAUGAAGGCCUUCGGGUUGUAAAAGCUAACGGCAGGAAAAGAAACGGCACGGGAUAAUACCCCGUGCAACUGACGGUACCUGCAGAAUAAGCACCGGCUAACUACGUGCCAGCAGCCGCGGUACGGCUUGUAGGGUGCAAGCGUUAAUCGAAUUACUGGGCGUAAAAGCGUGCGCAGGCGGUUCGGAAAGAAAGAUGUGAAAUCCCAGAGCUUAACUUUGGAACUGCAUUUUUAACUACCGAGCUAGAGUGUGUCAGAGGGAGGUGGAAUUCCGCGUAGCAGUGAAAUGCGUAGAUAUGCGGAGGAACACCGAUGAUAAAGGGCAGCUUCCUGGGAUAACACUGACGCUCAUGCACGAAAGCGUGGGGAGCAAACAGGAUUAGAUUCGCAAAUUCACGCCCUAAACGAUGUCAACUAGCUGUUGGGGCCUUCAAGCCUUGGUAGCGCAGCUAACGCGUGUUAACCGCCUGGGGAGCAUGGUCGCAAGAUUAAAACUCAAAGGAAUUGACGGGGACCCGCACAAGCGGUGGAUGAUGUGGAUUAAUUCGAUGCACCGCGAAAAACCUUACCUACCCUUGACAUGUCUGGAAUCCCGAAGAUUUGGAGUGCUCGUAAGAGAACCGGAACACAGGUGCUGCAUGGCUGUCGUCAGCUCGUGUCGGAGAUGUUGGGUUAAGUCCCGUAACGAGCGCAACCCUUGUCAUUAGUUGCUACGAAAGGCACUCAAUGAGACUGCCGGUGACAAACCGGAGGAAGGUGGGGAUGACGUCAAGUCCUCAUGAGCCCUUAUGGGUAGGGCUUCACACGUCAUACAAUGGUCGGGACAGAGGGUCGCCAACCCGCGAGGGGGAGCCAAUCCCAGAAACCCGAUCGUAGUCCGGAUCGCAGUCUGCAACUCGACUGCGUGAAGUCGGAAUCGCUAGUAAUCGCGGAUCAGCAUGUCGCGGUGAAUACGUUCCCGGGUCUUGUAUUGAGCCACCGCCCGUCACACCAUGGGAGUGGGUUUUACCAGAAGUAGUUAGCCUAACCGUAAGGAGGGCGAUUACCACGGUAGGAUUCAUGACUGGGGUGAAGUCGGAACAAGGUAG
rnacentral:rRNA from 1 species